rnacentral:lncRNA from 1 species
AUGCCUCCGUUCAAGUUGGAGCAGAACAGAAUCCCAGCAAACCCAGAGAAUGCAUUCAAUCAAAUGAACCGAUCUUGUAGAAACACUGGAAUCAUUUAUGCAUUGCAGUUUCUCUUUCUUGUUUUCGCUCCUUCUUUCCUGGGAUAUUUUGAGUGGAUUGUGGCUAUUAAUCAAGAUCUCGUGCUAUUCGUGGGUUGCUUGUCGUUUUCGCUCAGGAUUAGCAUCAUUCAAGGCAAACGCAAAGCUGUUUUUUUUUCCCCUACUCUUUUCUGAAAAAUCAUUUUUGGGGGCUGCUGAAGAGAGCUAGGACCCAGGAGACACCUUCCCAAACAGCAGGGGUUGUGUGCUUUCACACAGCAGUACUGUACAAGGAAAACCCCGUCGGAUCUGUUAUUGCGGGAUACUUGUGAAAUAUCAUAGGAUUCUUUCUUAUGGCUGCAUCCCGGAUCUGGAAAUUUUACUUGGGGACCAAGAGGAUCUGAAGGGCUACAUGUAUACAGAAGAUUUGCAAGCAAGACUCCGAUUCUUGUCAUAGAGCUCUCAGACUUCCUCACUUACCGGCCUUUUUCCUUCCUCCUUUAAAAAAAAAUUUCUUCCCUCUUUUUCUGCUCUCUCCUCUCUCAGUGUCUCCUUCUCUAUCUGCCUCUUCUUUUUUCUCCUAGUCGUCUUUUCCCCCCCUGCUCUGCACCUGGAUUGUAUCUUCACCAAACAAUCGGGCACUUUGAGAACUAACUGGAGGCAGUCUUGUAGGGAAGAGCUGUAUGGAAUUAUCUGCUUUUAUGGUGAACUUGGCAUUUGUGAAUGGGUAUCUUGUUCACGAUAUUAAUUGCUAGCAAAAACAAGAAAAAGAACACAGGAGUAAAACGUGGAUUUUUCUGAAUACGCAUUGUGAUGACCAGCAAUUACCUUGCCGACUGAUAUCCAGAGGAGAAUAAUUUGGAAGACUGUUGUGGGUAAGGUCAUUUUAUAUAUGCAAACCCAUCAGUGGCGUGAGCAAACUUGGGCAUCUGUAAUGGGAAUGGGUGACUUGGAUGAUUGCUGCAUCGCAUUGAUGGCUGUGAUGUGGCCGUUAUUGGCACUGAAUGGAAUAACUGCAGUUGGGUGUGUUGGUG